rnacentral:rRNA from 1 species
CCUUGCACACACCGCCCGUCGCUCCACCCGAGUGAGGCCUAGAUGAGGCACAGUUUCCUUGGCUGCGUCGAAUCUAGGCUUCGCGAGGGGGGAGAAGUCGUAACAAGGUGGCCGUAGGGGAACCUGCGGCCGGAUCACCUCCUAAG